GUGCAGCAGGCGCGAAAACUCCGCAAUGCGCGAAAGCGUGACGGGGUCACCCCGAGUGCCGUCCGCUGAGGAUGGCUUUUGCCUGGUCUAACCAGCCGGGUGAAUAAGGGGAGGGCAAGUCUGGUGUCAGCCGCCGCGGUAAUACCAGCUCUUCGAGUGGUCGGGACGAUUAUUGGGCCUAAAGCAUCCGUAGCCGGUUCUGUAGGUCUCCUGUCAAAUUCAACGGCUCAACCGUUGAGCUGCAGGAGAUACCGCAGGGCUAGGAGGCGGGAGAGGUGGACGGUACUCUAUGGGUAGGGGUAAAAUCUUCUGAUCCAUGGAAGACCACCAGUGGCGAAGGCGGUCCACCAGAACGGAUCCGACGGUCAGGGACGAAGCCCAGGGGCGCAAACGGGAUUAGAUACCCGUGUAGUCC
rnacentral:rRNA from 1 species